rnacentral:sRNA from 1 species
AUCCCCCAAAACAAGGGGGGGAUGAGACCCCCCGACCGGGGUUCGACAACUGGCGCAGCCAGUUGGACAGACGACGAGCCUGCGAGGAGACUGCCCGAAGGGCGAGCGCAGCGAGUCAAUCCCCCCCUCACCGCCA